rnacentral:rRNA from 1 species
GACGGAGGAUGCAAGCGUUAUCCGGAAUGAUUGGGCGUAAAGCGUCCGCAGGUGGCCGUUCAAGUCUGCUGUCAAAGACCGGGGCUUAACUUCGGAAAGGCAGUGGAAACUGAACAGCUAGAGUAUGGUAGGGGCAGAGGGAAUUCCUGGUGUAGCGGUGAAAUGCGUAGAGAACAGGAAGAACAUCGGUGGCGAAGGCGCUCUGCUGGACCAUAACUGACACUCAGGGACGAAAGCUAGGGGAGCGAAUGGG